UGACGCAACUGUUGUUGUGAUUAGGUGCUAUAUAAAUAAAAUUGAAUUGAAUUGAAUUCAAAUAAAAAUGUAUUUAAAAGAUAAGUUUUACAAGUGAACUUAGAAUGGGAUAUCAGAUUAGAACAGUCUCUAAAAUAUAAUAUUUAAUGUAUUAAAUAAAUCCAAUGAUUUACAGAAAAUAAUAAUAAGUUUCUUUCGAUAAAUCUGAGAAAGUCAUUUUGGGUCGAUACUCAUGAUAUUUUUCCACAACAAUCUUGGUGACGAGGAUGAGAUUUCUUGAGUGAUUUUUGUUCUCUGCUUUCAUUUUGAUUCCAGGAAACCUGCAGGUAGACUCAAUGAGUCUGAAAGAGCACUCAUGUCCCAGCAAAGUAUGGAGAAGGCGAGUGCAGGCAACUGAGGUCAGACUGAGUCACCACUGAAAUCUCAAUUAUUUCUGAUUUUAUUGAGGGUUUUUAAGGGGCAAGUAUGAUUUAAGAAAUGUAAACUUACUCGGUGUUUGGUAAGGGUGUCAGCCAUUCAGGGAAAAAUUCUGUAAACCGACGAGCACCUGAUUAAACUACAAGGGUGCGCCUUGAGAGGUUCAGAAGUUUUAUUUUAUUCUUUUCAUUGUUGGUUGUUCAGUGUGUUGUUUAUACAGUUAAGAUGUCCUUUUGUAAUAAUUACAGUUGGAUCAAAAUCACCUCACAAAAUGGUAUAAGAAAAAACACGUUUUGAUAAAAUUAUAAAGUGUGGUAAGUGAUAGUAAAGUAAUGAAAUAUAUAAGAAACUCAAAUGUGUAAAAUUAUAAAGUAAUAUUGCAAAACCUAGUAUGAACCAUAACUAAGGUUAAAUUACUAUGACGUCCGCUCCAAAUUUGUCAACAGAUGCUGGGAUCAGCAAAAAUGGUGCCAGGAGUUUCAUACAGAUGUGGUGAGAAGUUUAGAGGCUCUUAUCAUGAAUAUGAAUGUUAUGGUAAUUUGAGGCUUUUAGUGAUUUCUCUAACUUUACAGUUUACAUUUUAAUGACUUUAAAAAGGAAGAUUUGGGUGCAGAAGUUUGAACUUAGUUUUAGAUUCUCUCUUAUCCAUACAGGGUGAAAAUUAUACAUACAGGCUCAAGUUUAUGCAUGCACCCCACCUUGAGCUUAUAUUAAGAUAACAAUGAAUUAAUAUCAGUAGAUAGGAAUACAAACUUCAGUCUAAGUUAAAAAACAAAAACAAACACACUUCUAAUCAUACUCAGCUUGAAUCUGAAUAAAAAGAAGCAGAAUAAAAAAAUAUCCAUUUCCUGAUGCCUACAUUAAAGUGUAGGGAACACCUAAAAUGUCCAAUUGUAACUUGAUAUACAAUGAAAAAUCACCUAACUUGUCUUUGAAUUAUGUAUUUAUUUAAGCAAAUAAAAAAUAAUUUGAUAAUGUCAUGUGGUGAAAUUUUUAUUAACCAGUCUGGUUUAAGAACUACUUGCACUAGGGCGUGUGACGUAUUUCCGUUUCCAAAUACUACCGCUUGGACGUUUCCGGUAUGUUUGUUUAUCUAUCGGUAGCUAUGCUAAUGUCACUUCAGAAUGAGUAUAAAAAGGAAAGUACUUAAAACAGAACAUUUUCAAAAACAGGAGAAGAAAUACUCCGAGCAUUGCUGUGUCCCACUUUGUUCGGCUUCAGCCAAAUUUAACGGCAUACCAAGUUUUCAUGCCUUUCCGACCCAUUCCGACUUGAGAAGACAACGGCUGGUAAAUAUACGCCGGGAUCAUUUCACGAUUACCUCUCACACCAGGGUCUGCAGCAGACACUUUGCCAGUGAUCAACUCAUAGAGCCAACAACCCUUGAUGGUCGAAGGCGGCUUAUUAAAGGUGCUGUACCAACACUUUUUGAGUGGAAUGGCUAUAAAGUUGAACCACGCGGCGUAGUGUUUGGGAGAGAACGGAGCGACGCCCUGAACUAUUUCCUCCUGACGAUCAAGAAGAGCACAGUCUUACAAUAGAUCAUGACUACUGCUCAGUCCCUGAGCCGUCUGCAUUAGACAUAUCUGCAUCAGCUGCAGAAGACCUGUCCAAAGACGUGGAGACUCUGAGGAAGGAAAUGCAGGAGUUACGUGUCCAGCGAGAAUUUGGGUUACAGCGUUUUGCUGGCGCUGACACGGACAUCCGAUUCUACACCAGAUUUCCAAGCUAUGAUCAUUUGAUGGCAUUUUGGUUUUUGAUUGAGCCUUGCAUCUAUAAAAUGAUCCGGGUUUCAAGCGCCAAGUCAGCUGCCAAUAGGAACGAAGAAGUGUUGACACCUGCACGCACAUCAACGAGGCAGCUGCUACAGCCAAUUGACGAGUUCUUUCUUGUCCUGGUUUUCCUGUCAGUUGGUUUGAAGGAGAGGGACCUGGCACACCGAUUUAACAUACACCAGUCCACAGUGAGCCGCAUUAUUGCAACAUGAACAAAUUUUCUUGCCACUGCACUGGGGUCUCAAUGCAUUUGGCUUACAUGUGAAGAAGU